rnacentral:rRNA from 1 species
GCUGGCGGCAGGCCUAACACAUGCAAGUCGAGCGGUAACAUUUCUAGCUUGCUAGAAGAUGACGAGCGGCGGACGGUGAGUAACGCGUAGAAAUCUACCUUAGUAGUGGGGGAUAGCCCAGAGAAAUUUGGAUUAAUACCGCAUACGCCCUACGGGGAAAGCGGGGGAUCUUCGGACCUCGUGCUAUUAGAUGAGUCUGCGUCGGAUUAGCUUGUUGGUGAGGUAAAUGGCUCACCAAGGCGACGAUCCGUAGCUGGUCUGAGAGGAUGACCAGCCACACUGGAACUGAGACACGGUCCAGACUCCUACGGGAGGCAGCAGUGGGGAAUAUUGCACAAUGGGCGCAAGCCUGAUGCAGCCAGUGCCGCGUGUGUGAAGAAGGCCUUAGGGUUGUAAAGCACUUUCAGCAGUGAGGAAAGGGUGUCGUUAAUAGUCGCCAUCCUGUGACGUUAACUGCAGAAGAAGGACCGGCUAACUCCGUG